AUAUGUAAGUAAAUUGCCCAAAAGACAGUGUAUCGAGAUUCCUAAAAGUCAAAGCAGUAGUGUUGUAACCAAACCAAGUUGACACUGAGAAUGGCUAUGAAAAAUAUACCCACUGUUGAUUUGAUUCCAUUCUUGAGACAAGAAUGUGAAGAUGAAAGGUUAAAAGUUGUAGAGUCCAUUACUAAAGCCUGUGUUGAGUAUGGCUUCUUUCAAAUUGUGAAUCAUGGGGUACCCUUUGACCUCACCAGUGAAGCUCUGAAGCUGGCCAAAGCUUUCUUUGAGUCUCCAAAUGAAGCUAAACUCAAAUACUGUCCACUGCCUAAUGCACUUGUUCCUGCAGGCUAUAACAAGAAGCCUAAUCCUUCUUAUGAGUUCAAUGAAUUCCUCAUCAUGCUUCCACCUGGUUCUCAUUUUAACAUCUUCCCUCCCAAUCCCCCACAAUUCCGAGAGGUGAUGGAAGAGUUAUUUUCCCAAUUCUUGAAGAUAGGGAUGGUCGUUGAGAGCAUCCUGAGCGAGUGCCUAGGGCUUCCUCCCUCCGUUCUUAAAGAAUUCAACGAUGACAGAAACUGGGAUUUUCUUAUUGCUUUAUUUUACUUGCCAGCAACAGAAACAGAAAGGAUAGGAGCAAAUUCACAUAAAGAUGUCAGUUGCUUCACAAUUGUGUUACAAGAUGAAGUUGAAGGCCUCGAGGUUCAAAAGGACGGCGAAUGGAUCCUAAUAGCCCCACAACCAGGUGCCCUUGUUGUCAAUAUUGGUGAUGCUCUUCAGGUCCUUUCGAACGACAAAUUCAAAAGUCCAAGCCAUAGGGUGCUGAGACCUAAUGGAAGAUCAAGGAAUUCAUUUGCAUUCUUCUACAGUUUGUCAGGAGACAAAUGGAUUGAACCACUUCCCCAGUUUACAAAGGAGAUUGCAGAAAAACCAAAAUACAGACCCUUCUUGUACAAAGAGUAUCUACAGAUAAGAAAAGAAAACAAGUCUAAGCAUGUAUCCAGGCUUGAAGAUGAGAUUACCAUAUCAUACUAUGCAAUCCCUGAGGAGUAAUGUUAGACAAAAUAAAAAGGAAGAGAGUAUGACACGCUAGUUGGCAUCAUUACACACUAUCCAGGCCAACUAUCUCUUGAAGAACUUCGUACCAAAUUCUUGCUUCAUGAGAAACGGUUGCAACGCCUCAAAGAACUAGACUCUGUUGUCUCCUAUCAAGCCUUUGCUGCCUAUAAUGUAUCUCCUAGUUCCUCUUUUGUACCUGGUAAUCAAUCAAUAUCUCAAGGGGGUCGUGGCAGAGGUCGGUCUUACUCAUCUAGAGGAAGGGGUCGUGGAGGAAGAGGUCGAGGCUCCUUUGGUGGUCGCGGUCAAUCACAACAAGUUUCUUCACCUAAUAAUAUUUCACGCAACGGUUUUCAUGGACAGUCUUCAUCAGGUAUUGGUAGUAAUUCCCAUGAUUCCUAUCAUUCACAAUCUGCAAGUUCAACAUCACCAUCUGCAGGAGUCUUAGGAGCACAUCCUUCUUCUACCAUUUGUCAAAUUUGUGGGUCUCCCGGUAACUUUGCAUUACAGUGUACCAAUUGAUUCAAUCGUGCUUUUGUUGCUAAUGAUCUUCCUAAGUCUUUUGCUGCUAUGUCUGUUGGUGAAACAAAUGAUGCUACUUGGUACUUUCACUCUGCUGCGUCCGCUUAUAUGACCCCAUCUGAAGGGCAAAGCCUCAGGUCAAUUUCUCCUGCAAGCUUCCAGUAAGGGUGAUGUUUAUCCGCUAGCAUCUUCAUCAGUGUCUUCUCAUCCUCAAGCAUUUAUUGCUCUACGUCAGUCUGUAGAUAACUGGUAUCGUCAUUUAGGUCACAAUGGAGCUCAUACUUUAGAUCGUCUUAGGAAAAACAAUUACAUUAGUUUGAUUAAUUCUUAUAAUAAUGAUUGUGUCCCUUGUCGAUUAGGAAAAUCUCAACGUUGACCAUUUAGUUUAGUGGAUCACUGUAGUUCUUUUCCAUUAGAUAUUGUUCACUCAGAUGUUUGGCAAUUGCCAAUUUUAUCAAACGUGGGGUUUAAAUAUUAUGUUAUUUU